UACGUAGGGGGCAAGCGUUGUCCGGAAUUAUUGGGCGUAAAGCGCGCGCAGGCGGCCUAUUAAGUCUUCUGUAUAAGACCCGGGCUCAACUCGGGUUCGCAGGGGAAACUGGUGAGCUGGAGUGUAGGAGAGGAAAGUGGAAUUCCACGUGUAGCGGUGAAAUGCGUAGAGAUGUGGAGGAACACCAGUGGCGAAGGCGACUUUCUGGCCUAUAACUGACGCUGAGGCGCGAAAGCGUGGGGAGCAAACAGG
rnacentral:rRNA from 1 species